UCGUUGUAUAAGGCGUCCGUCGCCCUGGUGGCGGCUUCAAGGGAGGACGCAUGAUCCUCAUCGGCAUCGCACAUGGACAGGCCAUCAGAUUCAUCCACUUGGUAGCGGCUCCCAGGGAGAUAAUCAGCCAGCUGGGGCGGCUUGUUCAUACAGGUUUGACGAUUCAUCUUUUCAUUACCUAGUCUCUCAGGGAUGUCAAACGUACACCUCAACAACUAACGUCAGUGUUUAUUUUGUUCCGUAGUGAACCCCCUCGAUGAAUGCAUGCGCUGUGGCCAUGGCUAGAGAAAAUUCUACCUAUCGACGUCCUGUUAACCAACAAGAUCAGUAUCGGCUUUGAUAUGGAGGUAUUUUCCUUCACUGCGUGUUUUUUCUUUAUUCCCUUUACCGUACUGUAGUAGCAUUAGCUAAAUUGCAUUGAGAGAAUACGACGGCGCAACAAGCUAGGGCUACAAGAGAACCAACCAAAUUGCUGUAAUAGCAUGAUCCGCAAGGCUAUAAGGGAUCUGCACAUGACAUCCAUGGCUUCUCCUCCGCCUGCUAUUUGCCACUGUAGCACCGUUGACGGAUCCGAGUUCCACCUGCUAGGCUCGAAUGGUAGAUGUUACGGGCAACUGUAUGUGAAUCCCACUCCAAGGGAUCGCCCUUCACUAUUCCGGUGGACGCGGAGCUGAUGGCUCGCGUUUUUUCCUAGUCGUCCUACUGCACCCGCACAAGCAUCACCUAAGGAUAGGCUUUUUUUACUUUGCUCUAUGGACGAAGUCUAUCUUUUACGCAAUCCUAUUAAUUUACUAAAGUAUUUACGCCCCGUUGCAAUGCACAAUCAAUUUCCUAGUACAUGAAAAUAAUUUUUUUAUGUGCAGCGGAAAAUCUUGAGAUUCCUUUUACCAUGAAGCAAUUCGUUUUCCCUCUCAUUUGUUGACUCGGUUCAAGUUAAGCACUUAAGAGUGGCAAAAGCAAAAUAUAGCUGCAAGGGAGGCAAAGUUGCUCGGAUUGGAAAUGAUGGAACCUGAAAAUGAGGCAACGUAUCUACCACGCAGAAUAAAUGCAUAGCUGUCGGAUUAUCAACACAUUGUCAUUUACCACAACAACAUGAAACAACAGGAGUAUCUCGUCCCUUGAAGGGAUUCACAGUUGUACUCAGACUGCCAUUUUUUAUCUCACGUAAUGCUUGCCACUAAGGCUUUCUAAUUCAAUACAGUGUACACUAAGAGCAACUCUACCCCAUCCGAAUAAUUUAAUAGUUUAGUAACUCCCCAGAAAUAAAAUGAUAAGGAGCUAGACACAUCAUAUAUCUAACCUAAGCCCCUAAAGCGAUCUAUUUUAAUUAUUUUGGUUCCUAUUUUUGAUUUUAUCACUGUGUUGGGAGACACCUGGAGCUCAGGCUAGACGGAGCGACCAGGCUUUUCGGCCCACUCGUGGCCCGUUUUGUAC
rnacentral:lncRNA from 1 species